rfam:Triticum aestivum genome assembly, contig: Triticum_aestivum_CS42_TGACv1_scaffold_221983_3B
CAUGUACUCCCUCCGUUCCUAAUUACUCGUCACGGAAAUGGAUGUAUCUACAACUAAAAUACAUCUAGAUACAUCCAUACCUGCGACAAGUAAUUCGGAACGGAGGGAGUACGUA